rnacentral:tRNA from 2 species
GUGCCGGUAGCUCAAGUGGUAAGAGCUUCAAACUCAUAAUUUGACGGCUGAUGGUUCAAAUCCAUCCCGGCAUACCA